rnacentral:rRNA from 1 species
GACCAUCUCCUAAGGCUAAAUACUCUCUAGUGACCGAUAGUGAACCAGUACCGUGAGGGAAAGGUGAAAAGCACCCCGGAAGGGGAGUGAAAUAGAACCUGAAACCGUGUGCUUACAAGUAGUCAGAGCCCGUUAAUGGGUGAUGGCGUGCCUUUUGUAGAAUGAACCGGCGAGUUACGAUUUGAUGCAAGGUUAAGCAGUAAAUGUGGAGCCGUAGCGAAAGCGAGUCUGAAUAGGGCGUUUAGUAUUUGGUCGUAGACCCGAAACCAGGUGAUCUACCCUUGGUCAGGUUGAAGUUCAGGUAACACUGAAUGGAGGACCGAACCGACUUACGUUGAAAAGUGAGCGGAUGAACUGAGGGUAGCGGAGAAAUUCCAAUCGAACCUGGAGAUAGCUGGUUCUCUCCGAAAU